rnacentral:rRNA from 1 species
CCUACGGCAGGCAGCAGUGGGGAAUAUUGGACAAUGGGCGAAAGCCUGAUCCAGCCAUGCCGCGUGUGUGAAGAAGGCCUUCGGGUUGUAAAGCACUUUCAGUGGGGAAGAAAGCCUUGGGGCUAAUACCCUCGAGGAAGGACAUCACCCACAGAAGAAGCACCGGCUAACUCCGUGCCAGCAGCCGCGGUAAUACGGAGGGUGCGAGCGUUAAUCGGAAUUACUGGGCGUAAAGCGCGCGUAGGCGGUCUGAUAAGCCGGUUGUGAAAGCCCCGGGCUCAACCUGGGAACGGCAUCCGGAACUGUCAGGCUAGAGUGCAGGAGAGGAAGGUAGAAUUCCCGGUGUAGCGGUGAAAUGCGUAGAGAUCGGGAGGAAUACCAGUGGCGAAGGCGGCCUUCUGGACUGACACUGACGCUGAGGUGCGAAAGCGUGGGUAGCAAACAGGAUUAGAUACCCCUGUAGUC